rnacentral:rRNA from 1 species
GACGAACGCUGGCGGCGUGCUUAACACAUGCAAGUCACGGGGGCCCGCAAGGGUAACCGGCGAACGGGUGCGUAACACGUGAGCAACCUGCCAUUCACUGGGGGAUAGCCGGCCCAACGGCCGGGUAAUACCGCAUACGUUCUUCGGGCGGCAUCGUCUGAAGAGGAAACCUCCGGGGGUGAAUGAGGGGCUCGCGGCCUAUCAGCUAGUUGGUGGGGUAACGGCCUACCAAGGCGAUGACGGGUAGCUGGUCUGAGAGGAUGGCCAGCCACAUUGGGACUGAGAUACGGCCCAGACUCCUACGGGAGGCAGCAGUGGGGAAUAUUGCGCAAUGGCCGAAAGGCUGACGCAGCGACGCCGCGUGGGGGAUGAAGCAUUUCGGUGUGUAAACCCCUGUUGCUCGGGACGAACAGCUCUUUUCGAGGAGCCUGACGGUACCGGGUGAGGAAGCACCGGCUAACUCCGUGCCAGCAGCCGCCGUAA